rnacentral:rRNA from 1 species
CCUACGGGUGGCAGCAGUGAGGAAUAUUGGGCAAUGGUCGCAACUCUGACCCAGCCAUGCCGCGUGAGUGAAGAAGGUUUUCGGUUUGUAAAGCUCCUUCGGACGUGACGAUGAUGCCGGUAGCCUCUAACGGAGCCCCGGCUAACUUCGUACCAGCAGCCGCGGUAAUACGAAGGGGGCAGGCGUUGUUCGGAAUUACUGGGCGUAAAGGGAGUGUAGGCGGUUUAGUAAGAUAGGGGUGAAAUCCCAGAGCUUAACUUUGGAAUUGCCAUUAUAACUAUUAGACUAGAAUUACAGAGAGGAGAGUGGAAUACCCAGUGUAGAGGUGAAAUUCGUAGAUAUUGGGUAGAACUCCAGUGGCGAAGGCGACUAUCUGGCUCUACACUGACGCUGAGGCUCGAAAGCAUGGGUAUCGAACAGGAUUAGAUACCCUAGUAGUC